rnacentral:rRNA from 18 species
ACCACCCUCCAAGCCUAAAUACUCGUACAUGACCGAUAGCGAACAAGUACCGUGAGGGAAAGAUGAAAAGAACUUUGGAAAGAGAGUUAAAAAGUACCUGAAAUUGCUAAGGGGGAAGUGAUGGAAAGUAACAUUGUAGGUUCAGUUCU